UUGCACGCCCAAUUUUUCAGUUUUUGAUUUAUUAAAAAAGUUUGAAAUAUCCAAUAAAUGUCGUUCCACUUCAUGAUUGUGUCCCACUUGUCCCACUUGUUGUUGAUUCUUCACAAAAAAAUACAGUUUUAUAUCUUUAUGUUUGAAGCCUGAAAUGUGGCAAAAGGUCGCAAAGUUCAAGGGGGCCGAAUACUUUCGCAAGGCACCGUAGUAGUGAACAACAGAAAUAAACACAGAUUGUUCAACCAUUUGGGGGUGUGUGUCUGUGUGUUUGCACAUACUUGUUAGUUUGUACGUGUACUUUUUUUUUGUGUGUGUCCAUGUGCGUACGUAUUCAUUUGUACAUGUAUCAGUAUGCAAUGUGUGUGUGUUUGUUUGUUUGUUUGUUUGUUUGUUUGUAUCUUUGCUCAUGUAUUUUGACUGAGUGUGAGUGUAUUUUGUGAGUGCUCCACAGUGAUCUCCUGUGUUUGCUACUUUCCUAGGCAGACAGGCAGUGGCCAGGAUGGUGUGUAGAUUUUUUUUCCUGUGACCUGUUCAGACUCAUCUACAUGCCUGCCUGUCACUGUGGGUGCGUUGUUGGCCAGGGACCUGCCCACAUCUCCAAGACAGCCAGAGAAAGGGUGAAUGGAGAGAGAAAGCAGGAGGAGAGAAUACGAAGAUCGCAUUGAAAAUCUGUCUGACCACUCCAGGAGGUGUUCAGGGAUACAUUGUAUGCAGAUUUCUCCUCAGUCUGGAUACAAUCCUUCUACCGAAAGUGCAUACAGUGGGCGACAUCAUCAGCACUCCUUUCAUUAUAACGUUGGCGGAAAUACUUCCUAGCGUGUGAUGUGUUUGCUGGCCUCAAAUGCUAGCCAGCCAGCUAAUAUUUAGAUAAUUUUUUUGGUUUGGCUAGAGUUAUGCUAACCUGUUUGCAAUCCCUUUAGCGUAGCUUGCUAGCUAACUAUAGAGGUUAGCUGGCUAGUUAGCUACAGUAGUUAGCUACUGCCAUCAGUUGUUGUUGUGUUAUCAUAUUUUGCCUAUUCCACUGUUUGUAGAAUGUAUACUGGCAUUUAAAUAUAGCGUGGGAAAAGGGAAUCCUGACACACUGCGGACAUGGUAGACACAUUUAAAUGUAGGUGUAGAUGUAUGACAUGUUUGGAAUUCCAUGAUCAGAAUAGAAAAGCUGCAUGAACUGUCAAGUCUAGACACGGCCAGGGUAGACACUUUGGCCUAACCUCCUCAGCUUCUGCCACACAAGAAGAGAAGGAUAGAAAAGAGCUGUAAGCUUUGAGCUAUCCUUAAAAGCCCAACGUCUCUUUUGUCUUAGUAGACAUGUGCUGUGCUGAUGUUGACAUGCUUUUCCAAACACACAAUGCUUUGUUGCCCAUAUUCACUAUCUAAUAUUAUUUUUUACUAUUAAAUAACUACUAUUUCUUCC
rnacentral:lncRNA from 13 species